GAUGAACGCUAGCUACAGGCUUAACACAUGCAAGUCGAGGGGAAACGACAUCGAAAGCUUGCUUUUGAUGGGCGUCGACCGGCGCACGGGUGAGUAACGCGUAUCCAACCUGCCCACCACUUGGGGAUAACCUUGCGAAAGUAAGACUAAUACCCAAUGACGUCUCUAGAAGACAUCUGAAAGAGAUUAAAGAUUUAUCGGUGAUGGAUGGGGAUGCGUCUGAUUAGCUUGUUGGCGGGGUAACGGCCCACCAAGGCGACGAUCAGUAGGGGUUCUGAGAGGAAGGUCCCCCACAUUGGAACUGAGACACGGUCCAAACUCCUACGGGAGGCAGCAGUGAGGAAUAUUGGUCAAUGGGCGAGAGCCUGAACCAGCCAAGUAGCGUGCAGGAUGACGGCCCUAUGGGUUGUAAACUGCUUUUGUACGGAACGAAACGGCGAGCUCUAAUACAGUUUGCUAAUGACGGUACCGUAAGAAUAAGCACCGGCUAACUACGUGCCAGCCGCCGCGGUAA
rnacentral:rRNA from 1 species